rnacentral:rRNA from 1 species
AACGAACGCUGGCGGCGUGGAUAAGACAUGCAAGUCGAACGGGACAACAUCUGUAGCAAUACAGGUGUUGUUUAGUGGCGAACGGGUGCGUAACACGUGGGCAAUCUGCCGAGAAGUGGGGGAUAGCUCGCCGAAAGGCGAAUUAAUACCGCAUAUGAUCAGUGAAGACAUCUUCACGACAUCAAAGCCGGGGCAACCUGGCGCUACUCGAUGAGCCCGCGGCCUAUCAGCUAGUUGGUGAGGUAACGGCUCACCAAGGCUAUGACGGGUAGCUGGUCUGAGAGGACGACCAGUCACACUGGAACUGAGACACGGUCCAGACACCUACGGGUGGCAGCAGUCGAGAAUUUUUCUCAAUGGGGCAACCCUGAAGGAGCGACGCCGCGUGGAGGAUGAAGG